rnacentral:rRNA from 1 species
GACGAACGCUGGCGGCGUGCUUAAUACAUGCAAGUCGAACGGAAAGGCGCGGCGCUUGCGGGUCUCACGAUUGGCGCGCAGGGGAGUAACACAUGUGGAACACCCCCUUGUCUGUGUGGGAACUUCUCGGGACUGCGGCGAUUAUCGGGUAUGAUCUACUGCAGCGUGGGGUUCGAUGGAGAGAGUCGGCGGUGGGGUAUAGUCUCGCUGCUUAUGAGCUGGUUGGUGUGGUAGUGGCGGACAAAGGCUUUGACGGGUAGGCGGCGUGAGAGGGUGAACGGCCACAUUGCGCCUGAGAUACGGAGCAGAAUCCUACGGGAGGCAGCAGUGGGGAAUAUUGCACAAUGGGCGGGAGUCUGAUGCAGAAACGCUGCGUGCGGGAUGACGGCCUUCGGGUUGUAAACCGAUUUGGACUGUGACGAAGCGUGAGUGACGGUAAUGGGUAAAAAAGCACCGGCUAACUACGUG